GCUGCAGCAGCUCAGUGGUAUAGAGCACCUGCCUGGCAUGCAGAAAGUCCCAGGUUAAAUCCCCAGCUGCAUCU